rnacentral:rRNA from 1 species
UGAGCUUGAAUCCUGGCUCAGAUUGAACGCUGGCGGCAUGCCUUACACAUGCAAGUCGAACGGCAGCACGGGAGCAAUCCUGGUGGCGAGUGGCGAACGGGUGAGUAAUAUAUCGGAACGUGCCCAGUCGUGGGGGAUAACGCAGCGAAAGCUGUGCUAAUACCGCAUACGAUCUCUGGAUGAAAGCGGGGGACUCGCAAGAGCCUCGCGCGAUUGGAGCGGCCGAUAUCAGAUUAGCUAGUUGGUGGGGUAAAGGCCCACCAAGGCGACGAUCUGUAGCUGGUCUGAGAGGACGACCAGCCACACUGGAACUGAGACACGGUCCAGACUCCUACGGGAGGCAGCAGUGGGGAAUUUUGGACAAUGGGCGCAAGCCUGAUCCAGCAAUGCCGCGUGCAGGAUGAAGGCCUUCGGGUUGUAAACUGCUUUUGUACGGAACGAAAAGGUCUGCCUUAAUACGGUGGGCCCAUGACGGUACCGUAG